GCUAAAUAAGCAAGACACACAAGAAAAUCAGAAAUUAUAUUAUCCUAUGAAUAUGAAAUGUCCAGAAUAGGCAAAUCUAUAAAGACGAAAUAUAGAUUAGUGUUGUCUUGGGCUGACAGGGUGGAGGAAUGGGGGGGUGAAUGUUAAAGGGUAUGGGAUUUCUUUUUGAUAUGAUGAAAAGUUUCUAAAUUUGAUCGAGAAUGGCGUGAACCCAGAGCUGGAGCUUGCAGUGAGCCGAGAUCGCAC
rnacentral:lncRNA from 10 species